rnacentral:tRNA from 1 species
AGAGACUUAGGAUAGUAUUUAGACCCGGAGCCUUCAAAGCUCUUAGCGAAAGUGAAAAUCUUUCAGCCUCUA